rnacentral:SRP_RNA from 1 species
GGAGGUUGGCGGCGGGCGGAUCUCGUGCCAACCCGGCCAGGUCCGGAAGGAAGCAACCGUAACACUUUCGAUCCGGGUCGUUGUCCAAUCUCCCAC